UACGGGGGGGGCAAGCGUUGUUCGGAAUUACUGGGCGUAAAGGGCUCGUAGGCGGCCAACUAAGUCAGACGUGAAAUCCCUCGGCUUAACCGGGGAACUGCGUCUGAUACUGGAUGGCUUGAGUGUGGGAGAGGGAUGCGGAAUUCCAGGUGUAGCGGUGAAAUGCGUAGAUAUUCGCAAGAACACCAGUGGCGAAGGCGGCUCACUGGCCCGGUACUGACGCUGAGGUGCGAAAGCGUGGGGAGCAAACAGG
rnacentral:rRNA from 1 species